GGUUGAAUAGUGUAGUUGGUUAUCACAUCGGAUUUUGAUUAGAUCUUUCCAAGGUCGUCGAAACUUUCCGAUAACUUGGGUUCGAAUCCCAGUUCGACCU